rnacentral:lncRNA from 1 species
GUAAAGAUUCUUUAUAUCUUGUGGACAUAAGUCCUUUGCCAGCUAUGUGUAUUGCAAAAAGUUUCCGACUCUUUGACUUGACUUUUCCACUUUCUUAGUGGUGUUUUCUGAGGAGCAAAAAUUUUAACUUUUUAAAAAUUCUAAUUAAUCACUUCCUUGAAAUGGCUCAUUUUCGUGUGUUCUAUUUAUAAAACCUUUGUCUUUCUCAAGGUUUCAAAGGGUUUCACUUAUGUUUUUCUCUAGUAGUUUUUUUUAGUUUUAAUGUGUGUAUUCUCGUUUAUGAUCUAUCUGGAAUUGAUUUUUGUCUGCUAUGUGAAAUAAGGGUCAAAGUUCAUCUUUUUUUCCCACACUGGCAUCCAAUUGUUCAGUACCAUUUGUUGAAAAUAUAAUUAUUUUCUCCUCAAAUUACCUUGGUGACUUUAUUAAAACAAAACAAAACAAAACAAAAACUUCCCCCCCAAACUCUCACUCACUGAAAAACCUCACCCUAAACUGAGCAAAUACAUGUGGGUCUGUAUUUGGAUUCUCCAUUUUGUUCCUUUUUUUUAUAUGUCUAUUUUUAUGCUACUAUUGCACUGUCUUCACAACUGUGGCUUUGUAUAUUAAGUGUUAAAAUUGGGUGAUUUAGAUCUUCAGAUUUUGUUCUUCAUAUUCAAAAUUGUUUCAGCUCUUUGAGGCCCCUUCAAUUUCCACAUGAUUACAAGAAUCAGUUUAUCAAUUUAAGAAAGGCUUCUGGAAUUUUUUUUUUUCUGAAAUUGCACUGAAUUUAUAGAUCAAUUUGGGGAGAAUUGAUAUCUUAACCUUGCAUCAGUCAUUCCAUGGACAUGGUAUAUUUCUUCAUAUAUUUGAGCUUCCGUUUGUUUUUUCAGCAAUGUUUUGUAAUUUUCAGUUUGGAUGUCUUGUACAUAUGUUUUAAGUUUAUCUCAGUAUUUUACUAUUAAAUGUUAUUUUAAAUGGCAUUUAAAUUGUUUUCAUUUUGCAAUUACUUAUUGGAAUGUAAACAUUGCUGUUGGUUUACAGAAAUAUGAUUGUUUUUUACAUUUGCCUUGUAUCCUGUGACAUGUAUUAGUUCUGUAUUAGUUCCUUCCUUCUUUCAUUCUUCCUUCUUUCCAUCUUUCCUUCCUUCCUUCCUUUCUUUUUCUUUUUUGGCCCACACCCACAGCAUAUAGGAGUCUUGGCCUAUGCCACAGCUACAGCAAUGCAGGAUCUGAGCUGCAUCUGUGACCUUCACCACAGCUCAUAGCAACGCGGGAUCCUUUAAGCCACUGAGCAAGACCAGGGAUUGAACCCACAUCCUCAUGGAUAGUAGUUGCAUUUGUUACUGCUGAUCCACAAUGGGAACUCUUUUUCUUCAGAUUCCUUAGGAUUUACUAUGUACAAAAUAAUGUUAUCUAUGAACAAAUAAUGUUUUAUUCCUUUCUUUCCCAUUUGAAUAGCUUUUCCUUUUCUUUUUUCUUGUUUUCUUUUUCUUCUUCUUCUUCUUUUUUUUUUUUUUUUUUUUUUUUUUUUUUUUUUUUUUUUUUUUGUCUUUUCUAGGGCUGCACCCAGGGCAUAUGGAGGUUCCCAAGCUAAGGGUCUAAUUGGAGCUGUAGCUGCCGGCCUAUGCCACAGCCACAGCAACUCGGGAUCCAAGCCAUGUCUGAGACCCACACCACAGCUCAUGGCAACACUGGAUCCUUAACCCACUGAGCAAGGCCAGGGGUGAAACCUGCAACCUCAUGGUUCUUAUUCGGAUUCAUGGUUAACGAAUCCGACUAGGAACCAUGAGGUUGCGGGUUCGAUCCCUGCCCUUGCUCAGUGGGUUAAUGAUCUGGCGUUGCCGUGAGCUGUGGUGUAGGUCGCAGACGUGGCUCAGAUCCCGAGUUGCUGUGGCUCUGACGUAGGCUGGCAGCUAGGCUCUGAUUAGACCCCUAGCCUGGGAACCUCCUAUGUGCCACGGGAGGGGCCCAAGAAAUGGCAAAAAGACCAAAAGAAAAAAAAA